UGGGAGUGCCUGAAGUCGGUAACCGCAAGGAGCCGCCUAGGGUAAAACUAGUAACUGGGGCUAAGUCGUAACAAGGUAGCCGUACCGGAAGGUGCGGCUGGAACACCUCCUUUCUAGAGAAAGACGACUGAAUUUGAAGAAAUUCAACAAAAAAUGUGUUUUACUUAAGCUGUCCAUCUUAUUUUUAUAAUCUAUUCGUUAGAGUCUCGUAGCUCAGCUGGUUAGAGCGCUACACUGAUAAUGUAGAGGUCGGCAGUUCGAGCCUGCCCGAGACUACUUUUUGAUAGAUCAUUUAUGGAAAUUUAGAGGCUGGGAAACUUUUAUUUUUUUCCGUUCUUUUUUUCAGAAUGGGGGAUUAGCUCAGCUGGCUAGAGCGCCUGCCUUGCACGCAGGAGGUCAUCGGUUCGACUCCGAUAUUCUCCACAAAGGUUUUUUUAAACCGUACGUUCAUUGACAUAUUGAAUUAUUUAAGAUACAUAAAAAUAAAAGGUAUAAAUUAUUAAUCGAGCCGAUUAAUAAUUUGUACGAGCAAAGUAAAAAUUACAAUUUUAAGAGAAAGUAAAGUUACGAUAGGCUAAUUAAGGGCGUAUGGGGAAUGCCUAGGCUCUCAGAGGCGAAGAAGGACGUGAUAAGCUGCGAAAAGUUACGGGGAAUGGCACACACAUUUUGAUCCGUAAAUAU
rnacentral:misc_RNA from 1 species